AAAUAGCGGAGGAAAAGAAACCAACUGGGAUUACCUUAGUAACGGCGAGUGAAGCGGUAAAAGCUCAAAUUUGAAAUCUGGUACUUUCAGUGCCCGAGUUGUAAUUUGUAGAAUUUGUCUUUGAUUAGGUCCUUGUCUAUGUUCCUUGGAACAGGACGUCAUAGAGGGUGAGAAUCCCGUUUGGCGAGGAUACCUUUUCUCUGUAAGACUUUUUCGAAGAGUCGAGUUGUUUGGGAAUGCAGCUCAAAGUGGGUGGUAAAUUCCAUCUAAAGCUAAAUAUUGGCGAGAGACCGAUAGCGAACAAGUACAGUGAUGGAAAGAUGAAAAGAACUUUGAAAAGAGAGUGAAAAAGUACGUGAAAUUGUUGAAAGGGAAGGGCAUUUGAUCAGACAUGGUGUUUUUUGCAUGCACUCGCCUCUCGUGGGCUUGGGCCUCUCAAAAAUUUCACUGGGCCAACAUCAAUUCUGGCAGUAGGAUAAAUCAUUAAGAAUGUAGCUACCUCGGUAGUGUUAUAGCUUAUUGGAAUACUGCUAGCUGGGAUUGAGGACUGCGCUUCGGCAAGGAUGUUGGCAUAAUGGUUAAAUGCCGCCCGUCUUGAACC
rnacentral:rRNA from 1 species